UUCGACUGUUUACCAAAAACAUAGCCCUAGAAAGUAUCUAAGGUGCAACCUGCCCAAUGAUUUUAAAGCAAAAAUAAAUAGAAGUUAUUUAAUAAAAUUUAAAGGACGCGGUAACCUUGACUGUGAUAAUGUAGCAUAAUCAUUUGCCAUUUAAUUGAUGGAUAGUAUGAAUGGUUAAACGAAUUUUCCACUGUCUUAAAAAGAAAUAAUCAAAAAAAUUAAAAUAAUAGUUAAGAUGCUAUUUAAAAUUGUAAGACGAAAAGACCCUAUAGAGCUUAACUACAACCUUUUAUAAAUAUUAUAAAAUAAAUUAAGAAAAAGAAAGGAUGGUAGUUUAGUUGGGGCGACUGUCUUCUAAAAUAAACGAAGAUAAACAAAGUUAAUAAAAAAACUUACUGUACAAUAAAUUUAUUUAACAGUUACAAAAGUAGGUUAUAAUGACCCGUUAUUAUAAAAUAAAAUAUAUAACGAUCAAUAAAUAAAAGCUACCUUAGGGAUAACAGGAUAAUUUUAUUUUAGAGAUCUUAUCGAAAAUAAAGUUUGUCACCUCUAUGUUGAAUUAAGGUAUCCUGACAAUGCAGAAGUUGUCAAAGGUAGGUCUGUUCGACCUCUAAGACCUUACAUGAUUUGAGUUCAUUCCGUA
rnacentral:rRNA from 1 species